rnacentral:rRNA from 1 species
GCGAUAUUAAAACACAGUAAAAGACUGAGGAAUAACCUCUUUAAUCUGCGUUCACUGAUUAUUUUGAGUGUAGAAGACGGUUUUAGAAUUCUUGAAGAAAGGGUAAAAUUGUUGAUAUAAGAAAACUUUCGAUGGCGAAAGCAUUUACCGAUUCUAUUCUGACGCUAGGUACUAAAGCUUGGGGAGAAAGAGGAUUAGAGACCUCGUAGUCCUUGCCUUAAACAAUGAGUGUUCAACGUCUUAGAAUACUCGGAUUCACCUCAGUGAAUCCUAGAGGAUUCUUGGGGGUUUGAAGUUACGGCCGCGAAACAC